rnacentral:rRNA from 1 species
UCGGCAGGCUUACCCAUGCAAGUCGAGCGCCCCGCAAGGGGAGCGGCAGACGGGUGAGUAACGCGUGGGAAUCUACCUUUUGCUACGGAAUAACUCAGGGAAACUUGUGCUAAUACCGUAUGUGCCCUUCGGGGGAAAGAUUUAUCACGCUAAAGGAUGAGCCCGCUUUUGGAUUAGCUAAAUGAGUGGGGUAAAGGCCCACCAAGGCGACGAUCCAUAGCUGGUCUGAGAGGAUGAUCACCCACACUGGGACUGAGACACGGCCCACACUCCUACGGGAGGCACCAGUGGGGAAUAUUGGACAAUGGGCACAAGCCUGAUCCACCCAUGCCGCGAGAGUGAUGAAAGCCCUACGGUUGUAAAGCUCUUUCGCCGGUGAAGAUAAUGGACGGCAACCGGAUAAGAAGCCCCGGCUAACUUCAUGCCAACGACCGCGGUAAUACGAAAAGGGGCUAGCGUUGUUCGGAUUUACUGGGCGUAAAGCGCACGUAGGCGGACUUUUAAUUCGAGGGUGAAAUCCCAGAGCUCAACUCUGGAACUGCCUUUGAUACUGGAAGUCUUGAGUAUGGCAGAUGUGAAUGGAAUUCCGAUUGUAGAGGUGAAAUUCAUAGAUAUUCGGAGGAACACCAGUGGCGAAGGCGGCUCACUGGACCAUUACUGACGCUGAGGUGCGAGAAGCGUGGGGGAUCAAAAGAGGAUUAAAUGCCCUGGUAGUCCACGCCGUAGACGAUGAAAUGUUAGACCGUNUGGGCGGUUUACACUUCGGCGGCGCAGCUAACGCAUUAACACAUUCCGCCUGGGGGAAGUACGGUCGCAAGAUUAAACACUUCUAAAAGGAAAUUCGACGGGGGCACGCACAACCGGUGGAAGCAUGUUGGAUUUAGAUUUCUGAACGCGACGCGCACAACCUUUACCAGACCCUUGACAUACCAGUUCGCGGACACACACAUAUGUCUAUUCAGUUCGGCUGGACCGGAUACAGGGGCUGCAUGGGCUGUCUUUCACCUUCGGGUCGUANNAUGUUUGGGUUAAUGCCNNGCAACGAAGCGCCACCCCUCGCCCUUUAAAUUUCCCUUCUUUUUUACCUUGNGCCCCUUCNCAAAGNGNACUUCCCCCUUUAAAUUUAACCUUUCGA